CACCGCCUGGGGAGUACGACCGCAAGGUUAAAACUCAAAUGAAUUGACGGGGACCCGCACAAGUAGUGGAGCAUGUGGUUUAAUUCGAAGAUACGCGCAGAACCUUACCAACACUUGACAUGUUCGUCGCGACUUUAAGAGAUUAAAGUUUUCGGUUCGGCCGGACGAAACACAGGUGCUGCAUGGCUGUCGUCAGCUCGUGUCGUGAGAUGUUGGGUUAAGUCCCGCAACGAGCGCAACCCUCACUUUUAGUUGCCAUCAUUUAGUUGGGCACUCUGAAAGAACUGCCAGUGAUAAGCUGGAGGAAGGUGGGGAUGACGUCAAGUCCUCAUGGCCCUUACGUGUUGGGCUACACACGUGCUACAAUGGUAUCUACAACAGGAAGCAAGACGGCGACGUUAAGCAAAUCCUCAAAAGAUACCUCAGUUCGGAUUGCACUCUGCAACUCGAGUGCAUGAAGCUGGAAUUACUAGUAAUCGUGGAUCAGCGUGCCACGGUGAAUGCGUUCCCGGGUCUUGUACACACCGCCCGUCACACCAUGGGAGUUGGUUCUACCUUAAGGCAAGGUUUAAAACCCUUGACCACGGUAUAGUCAGCGACUGGGGUGAAGUCGUAACAAGGUAGCCGUAGGGGAACCUGCGGCUGGAUUACCUCCUUUCUAAGGAUGAUUAAAAUAUAAAUUAUUUUAAUCUAAAUAUUUAACAGGUUAAUGUUGACCGUCCUCAUUUCUCUUCUUAGAUGUAGUGUUUCUCUUUACUGAAUAAGGGCCGGUAGCUCAGUUGGUUAGAGCACACCCUUGAUAAGGGUGGGGUCGAAAGUUCGAGUCUUUCUCGGCCCACCAAAUUUCAUGGGGGAUUAGCUCAGCUGGGAGAGCGCCUGAUUUGCAUUCAGGAGGUCAGCGGUUCGAUCCCGCUAUCCUCCACCAGAAACAUUUAGUUAUAAAAAUCGUAAAUAAAAAAUUAUUAAUAUCAAUAUCUAUAUCCGAUUGUUCGAAUAGAUGAACAAUCAAAAUGUUUAAUUAAAAACAUUUAAAAAAUUUGAUUCAACACAGAAUUUUUUUCUG
rnacentral:sRNA from 1 species